rnacentral:lncRNA from 1 species
AUAUCCUGCACCUAUUUGGCAUGCUAUAAGAGCUUGCUAGGAAGAGGCAAAAUUUUAACAGCUGAAAUUCCAUUGCAAAAAUGUUUUUCAGCAUCAUUUUUUUUCCCCUAUCUUCUGGAUGUGUGCUUCAAGAACCAGGAACCCAUGGAAAGAACACCUGCAGGUGGAAAUCCAUGUGGAGAGAAAUACGUGCAUAUCUGUUUUAUUGACAUGUUUCUAACAAAACCAAAACGAUGCUGCCAAAUGUCUGCAGUAUAUUGACUUGAAGACAGAACCUGCUUUUAUUUGUCCAAAUGAUUGGCAGAUCAGAAGUAAAUUAAACCUGAUGGAAACAAGUUUUCUUUAUUGACGUCAGUGGAUCCAGAUAUAUGGUUCUAAAACAGGGACUGAGAACAUGAGUGAUUUGAUUUUCUUAAUUAAAAGAAAAUCAUUAGCAGUUCCAAGGGGACAAGCCCACCCAAUCAUUGUUCUCAGGGCUAACCCACCCAUCCAUUCUCCUUUCUGAUAUCAAUUGUUCUAUUUUAACUUCCUUAUCUUUUGUAUUUCCUUCUUGAAUUAUAGUAUUUUAAAAUAUAAAAGCUAAUAAACUAUGCCAGAAACUUAAAAUUCA